rnacentral:rRNA from 1 species
AUGAUCGCGCUACCAGCAGUCGACGAUGAAGCCCUUCGGGGUGGAUUAGUGGCGAACGGGUGAGUAACACGUGGGCAAUCUGCCCUUCACUCUGGGACAAGCCCUGGAAACGGGGUCUAAUACCGGAUAACACUCUGUCCCGCAUGGGACGGGGUUGAAAGCUCCGGCGGUGAAGGAUGAGCCCGCGGCCUAUCAGCUUGUUGGUGGGGUAAUGGCCUACCAAGGCGACGACGGGUAGCCGGCCUGAGAGGGCGACCGGCCACACUGGGACUGAGACACGGCCCAGACUCCUACGGGAGGCAGCAGUGGGGAAUAUUGCACAAUGGGCGAAAGCCUGAUGCAGCGACGCCGCGUGAGGGAUGACGGCCUUCGGGUUGUAAACCUCUUUCAGCAGGGAAGAAGCGAAAGUGACGGUACCUGCAGAAGAAGCGCCGGCUAACUACGUGCCAGCAGCCGCGGUAAUACGUAGGGCGCAAGCGUUGUCCGGAAUUAUUGGGCGUAAAGAGCUCGUAGGCGGCUUGUCACGUCGGAUGUGAAAGCCCGGGGCUUAACCCCGGGUCUGCAUUCGAUACGGGCUAGCUAGAGUGUGGUAGGGGAGAUCGGAAUUCCUGGUGUAGCGGUGAAAUGCGCAGAUAUCAGGAGGAACACCGGUGGCGAAGGCGGGAUCUCUGGGCCAUUACUGACGCUGAGGAGCGAAAGCGUGGGGAGCGAACAGGAUUAGAUACCCUGGUAGUCCACGCCGUAAACGUUGGGAACUAGGUGUUGGCGACAUUCCACGUCGUCGGUGCCGCAGCUAACGCAUUAAGUUCCCCGCCUGGGGAGUACGGGCCGCAAGGCUAAAACUCAAGGGAAUUUGACGGGGGCCCGCACAAGCAGCGGAGCAUGUGGCUUAAUUCGACGCAACGCGAAGAACCUUACCAAGGCUUGACAUAUACCGGAAAGCAUCAGAGAUGGUGCCCCCCUUGUGGUCGGUAUACAGGUGGUGCAUGGCUGUCGUCAGCUCGUGUCGUGAGAUGUUGGGUUAAGUCCCGCAACGAGCGCAACCCUUGUUCUGUGUUGCCAGCAUGCCCUUCGGGGUGAUGGGGACUCACAGGAGACUGCCGGGGUCAACUCGGAGGAAGGUGGGGACGACGUCAAGUCAUCAUGCCCCUUAUGUCUUGGGCUGCACACGUGCUACAAUGGCCGGUACAAUGAGCUGCGAUGCCGCGAGGCGGAGCGAAUCUCAAAAAGCCGGUCUCAGUUCGGAUUGGGGUCUGCAACUCGACCCCAUGAAGUCGGAGUUGCUAGUAAUCGCAGAUCAGCAUUGCUGCGGUGAAUACGUUCCCGGGCCUUGUACACACCGCCCGUCACGUCACGAAAGUCGGUAACACCCGAAGCCGGUGGCCCAACCCCUUGUGGGAGGGAGCUGUCGAAGGUGGGACUGGCGAUUGGGACGAAGUCGUAACAAGGUAGC